AAGAGUUAGCUUGGGGGAAAAUAGCUGCCCGAGUCAAUGCGUGCAAUCCUGCAGGCAUAAAAAGAACGUGGCAGCAGCUAAAAAUGAAAUAUAAAAACAUAAUUCAAACAGCCAACAGAAAGAAGGCAGAGGCCAGAAAAACUGGUGGAGGACCUGCACCACCACCACUGACACAUGCAGAGGAGAUGGCCCUCAGCCUAAACACUGGAAAGCCAGUGGCUGAGGGAAUUCCUGGAGGGAGUUCAUC